CCUACGGGUGGCUGCAGUGGGGAAUAUUGCACAAUGGGCGCAAGCCUGAUGCAGCCAUGCCGCGUGUGUGAAGAAGGCCUUCGGGUUGUGAAGCACUUUCAGCGGGGAGGAAGGCGGUGAGGUUAAUAACCUCAUCGAUUGACGUUACCCGCAGAAGAAGCACCGGCUAACUCCGUGCCAGCAGCCGCGGUAAUACGGAGGGCGCAAGCGUUAAUCGGAAUUACUGGGCGUAAAGCGCACGCAGGCGGUCUGUCAAGUCGGAUGUGAAAUCCCCGGGCUCAACCUGGGAACUGCAUUCGAAACUGGCAGGCUAGAGUCUUGUAGAGGGGGGUAGAAUUCCAGGUGUAGCGGUGAAAUGCGUAGAGAUCUGGAGGAAUACCGGUGGCGAAGGCGGCCCCCUGGACAAAGACUGACGCUCAGGUGCGAAAGCGUGGGGAGCAAACAGGAUUAGAUACCCUUGUAGUC
rnacentral:rRNA from 1 species